rnacentral:rRNA from 1 species
CGGUUUGGAAACAGACCUUUCGCAAGACAGUUUACAAGGUGCUGCAUGGUUGUCGUCAGCUCGUGCCGUGAGGUGUCAGGUUAAGUCCUAUAACGAGCGCAACCCCUGUUGUUAGUUGCCAGCGAGUCAAGUCGGGAACUCUAACAAGACUGCCAGUGCAAACUGUGAGGAAGGUGGGGAUGACGUCAAAUCAUCACGGCCCUUACGCCUUGGGCUACACACGUGCUACAAUGGCCGGUACAGAGAGCAGCCACUGG